GUGCCAGCCGCCGCGGUAAUACGGAGGGUGCAAGCGUUAAUCGGAAUUACUGGGCGUAAAGCGCACGCAGGUGGCUGAGAAAGUCGAUUGUGAAAGCCCUGGGCUUAACCUGGGAAUUGCAGUCGAAACUACUCGGCUAGAGUAUGGGAGAGGGAAGUGGAAUUCCCGGUGUAGCGGUGAAAUGCGUAGAUAUCGGGAGGAACAUCAGUGGCGAAGGCGGCUUCCUGGCCCAAUACUGACACUCAGGUGCGACAGCGUGGGGAGCAAACAGGAUUAGAAACCCUAGUAGUCC
rnacentral:rRNA from 1 species